rnacentral:rRNA from 1 species
CCUACGCGUGUCUGCAGUGAGGAAUAUUGGUCAAUGGGCGGAAGCCUGAACCAGCCAAGUAGCGUGCGGGAUGAAGGCCCUACGGGUCGUAAACCGCUUUUGCACGGGGAUAACACCCUCCACUUGUGGAGGUCUGCAGGUACCGUGCGAAUAAGGGCCGGCUAAUUCCGUGCCAGCAGCCGCGGUAAUACGGAGGGCCCGAGCGUUAUCCGGCGUCAUUGGGCUUAAAGGGAGCGUAGGCUGGCGUUCAAGUCAGCUGUAAAAUCGCGCGGCUCAACCGCGCCCCGCAGUUGAAACUGGACGCCUUGAGUUCACAACAGGCAGGCGGGAUGCGUGGUGUAGCGGGGAAAUGCAGAGAUAUCACGAGGAACCCCGAUUGCGAGGGCAGCCUGCCGGGGUGCGACUGACGCUGAGGCUCGAAGGUGCGGGUAUCAAACAGGAUUAGAUACCCCUGUAGUC